AAAACGACUCUCGGCAACGGAUAUCUCGGCUCUCGCAUCGAUGAAGAACGUAGCGAAAUGCGAUACUUGGUGUGAAUUGCAGAAUCCCGUGAACCAUCGAGUCUUUGAACGCAAGUUGCGCCCGAAGCCUUCGGGCCGAGGGCACGUCUGCCUGGGCGUCACGC
rnacentral:rRNA from 20 species